ACGGCUCGGGAUAACGUCCGGUAGCGUCACGGCAACCGCCGGAAGUUGCUCCCGGAAGUGCGGGUCAGGAGGCGCCCGGCGGGCAACAUGUCCGACAACGAGGACAACUUUGACGGGGAUGACUUCGACGAUGUGGAGGAGGAUGAGGGCCUGGAGGACCUGGAGAACGCGGAGGAGGAGGGACAGGAGAACGUGGAGAUUCUGCCCUCGGGAGAGCGGCAGCAGGCGAACCAGAAGCGGAUCACGACCCCCUACAUGACCAAGUACGAGCGAGCCAGAGUCCUGGGCACUCGUGCCCUGCAGAUAGCUGCUGAUCCCAGACCAGCAGCAGCUCCCAUGGCCUCACCCACACAUAACAUGAGCUUUCUCUGCCGUCACUGUCCAGGGGCUGGAAGCUGUGAGCAAGUCAGAAUGAUGUGUGCCCCUGUGAUGGUGGAGCUGGAAGGAGAGACAGACCCCUUGCUCAUUGCCAUGAAAGAACUCAACUGUAGGCUCUGGGGAAGAUAUAAAGGCCUGAACUGACCUGAAAAACUGAAGAUGAAGAGGAGGUAUGGCUCAAGGAAUACACAGGCAGCAUCUCGAUCAUUCUGCAGAUGUCUCCAGGAGCAUUCAGUCAGCAGUGGUGAGGACAAGUCAGGUUACCUCAAGGCUGUACCUGCAAAGUGCUGUAGUUUGCAGCAGGGACCACCUCUCUUUCCACAUCAGCAGGGCUAGAAUCCUGAGUGAUGAACAGAUUUGGCCUGGUGGAUCAAAUUGGGAAGAAGAUGCAGGUGUUCUGCUAUGAUUCACUCACAGGUUGUGGAAAAGGAGACAGCCUGGAGCAGCUGGACACUGAGGAACUAAAGAUUUUUGUCAGCUUUUUGGGAAUCCCAUUUCAGGAUUUGCUGAAUCUUUUUCCUUUCCAUGGAAAGCUGGUCCAGCAAACAGCUUGCCAAGUGGUAGUAAGGUUCUGGUAUAAGAGAAACAGGGCUUUUAAACCAGGCAUAGUGAAAUUACUCACAUCAGUUCAGCAGCACUGUAUUGAGGCAAACUCUUUCCAUCAAGCCCACUCCCAUCUGCUGUAAAUAUUAACUCAGUCCAAACCAGUCCCAUUUGCAGAUCCAAAUUCAACACAACCUAAGACAACUAACAGGGAGAAAUAA